ensembl:lncRNA
GGCUCCAUCAAGAGGCUCCAUUGAGAGGCAGCAGGUGGGAUAAGGCAGAAAACUUAAAAGUCUCGCCUCCAAGGGGCUGUGCAAUGAAUAGAUCUCCACAUCUGUCCACCAAAUCUUAAAAGCUUAUAGAGAGGCCUCAUUGGGGUUCAGACACCUACUCAGUUUGGUAGGUCUCAACAACGUGUCACUCUCUGAAGGCGAGUCCCUGAAACCAUCUCCUACCCGGAGCACUGGGCAGAAGGUCACUCCAACAACAGAGGAGAGAGUGUGGUCCCUCCCACUGCCCGUGUGUAGCUCGUCGGGGGAGGGCGGGGUCAGCCCACCAUCCUGUGCCCUGGAUGACCUCCUCCAAUGAGGAUAGAGAAACUUGGACUCAGCUGUGUCCAGUUUGAGCUGGUUGAGACUGGCUAGGACAACGGACCCUCCCACUGGGCAUGUGGCAGUGUCCUCUCUGUGACCUUUGAUGUCAGAGGGCCAGGAGCUCCACCCUCAAAACAUGGCAACACCACAAGUUCUGGGCAUGCAGGCCUGGUUAUGUCUGCACAGAACGAUGAUGAUCACAGCUUUUCCUUAUUCCCACUUACCUUUCCCCAGGCUCCACACACAUUACAGCUCCAUCCCAUAAUUAUCCCAAGCCCCUCUCUUUCGGAGAGGUGGGUUUGGGAUCAGUUCUCCCAUCUCCUCUCUUGGCUGCAGUGUGAAUAAAGUCUUUGCUGCCAACCUCAGUGUCUUAGCCCUUGGCUUGCUGCACAUUGGGAAGGGAUGCCUGUAUGCUCAGUCUCUCAGUCGUGUUCCACUCUUUGCAACCCAUGGACUUUAGCCAAUCAGACUCUUCUCUCUAUGGGAUUUCCCAGGAAGAAAUCAGGCUUCCGGAGACAGCUGUCAUUAAUUGAAGUUAGGUCACACUGCAUCACAAACCUUCACCCCAGAACACUGAGUGCAAUAUUCUGGAUCGUAUCAGCUGCCUGUGUAGGACCCAUUCCUUCCAUGACGAAAUGUAUUUAAUUUGAUUUCUGAGUAUGAAUGACACACCUGUGAGAUAGAGUUUGGAAUUCAGUCUGCUCAUUUAACUGUAAAGAAAUACUCUAUUUGGUUCAAAAGUCAUCUUUUGGUUAUAAUAAUACUUGCCCCCUCAUCCGUAGUUCCUUCCUUCCUCCAUCCACUCACCCAUUAAUCCAUUAAUUUAUUCAAUAUUUAUUGUUCCUCUACAAUUGUAUGUGCUAUACAACCUUGUGAUGUUUUAGUUCAGAAAUACUGAAUAGGAAAUAAACUUUUCUC